CCUACGGGGGGCUGCAGUGGGGAAUAUUGGACAAUGGGGGCAACCCUGAUCCAGCCAUGCCGCGUGUGUGAAGAAGGCCCUCGGGUUGUAAAGCACUUUCAGUGAGGAAGAACGCCUGGUGGUUAAUACCCAUCAGGAAAGACAUCACUCACAGAAGAAGCACCGGCUAACUCCGUGCCAGCAGCCGCGGUAAUACGGAGGGUGCGAGCGUUAAUCGGAAUUACUGGGCGUAAAGCGCGCGUAGGUGGCUUGAUAAGCCGGUUGUGAAAGCCCCGGGCUCAACCUGGGAACGGCAUCCGCAACUGUCAAGCUAGAGUGCAGGAGAGGAAGGUAGAAUUCCCGGUGUAGCGGUGAAAUGCGUAGAGAUCGGGAGGAAUACCAGUGGCGAAGGCGGCCUUCUGGACUGACACUGACACUGAGGUGCGAAAGCGUGGGUAGCAAACAGGAUUAGAUACCCGUGUAGUC
rnacentral:rRNA from 1 species